AACGUAGGAGCCAAGCGUUAUCCGAAUUCACUGGGCGUAAAGCGUGUGCAGGCGGUAUGAUAAGUUGGAUGUGAAAUCUCCUGGCUCAACUAGGAGAGGCCGUUCAAUACUGUCAAACUAGAGGGCAACAGAGGGAGGUGGAAUUCCCGGUGUAGUGGUGAAAUGCGUAGAUAUCGGGAGGAACACCAGUGGCGAAAGCGGCCUCCUGGGUUGUACCUGACGCUCAGACACGAAAGCUAGGGGAGCGAACGGG
rnacentral:rRNA from 1 species